GACGGGGCCCGGCACAAGCGGUGGAGUAUGUGGUUAAUUCGAUGCAACGCGAAGAACUUACCUGGUCUUGACAUCCCGGAGACCCUUAGGAAACUAGGGGUGCUUCCAUCUGGAAGAAUCUGGAGACAGGUGCUGCAUGGCUGUCGUCAGCUCGUGUCGUGAGAUGUUGGGUUAAGUCCCGCAACGAGCGCAACCCUUGCCUUUAGUUGCCAGCAGUUCGGCUGGGCACUCUAAAGGGACUGCCGGUGUUAAACCGGAGGAAGGUGGGGAUGACGUCAAGUCCUCAUGGCCUUUAUGACCAGGGCUACACACGUACUACAAUGGCCGAUACAAAGGGCAGCGACACUGCGAGGUGAAGCCAAUCCCGUAAAAUCGGUCUCAGUCCGGAUUGGAGUCUGCAACUCGACUCCAUGAAGUUGGAAUCGCUAGUAAUCGUGGAUCAGCAUGCCACGGUGAAUACGUUCCCGGGCCUU
rnacentral:rRNA from 1 species